AGAGUUUGAUCAUGGCUCAGGAUGAACGCUAGCGGUGUGCCUAAUGCAUGCAAGUCGAACGGGAUCCUUGGAUUCGUCUGAGGUGAGAGUGGCGAACGGGUGAGUAACACGUAGGUGACCUGCCCCGGAGAGGGGGACAACCACUGGAAACGGUGGCUAAUACCCCAGAUGUCUAUGAGGUUAGAGCUGAUAGACUAAAGCCUUGGCGCUCUGGGAGGGGCCUGCGGCCCAUCAGCUAGUUGGUAGGGUAACGGCCUACCAAGGCAAAGACGGGUAGGGGGCGUGAGAGCGUGACCCCCCACACUGGUACUGAGACACGGACCAGAUACCUGCGGGUAGCAGCAGCAAGGAAUAUUGCCCAAUGGACGAAAGUCUGAGGCAGCAACACCGCGUGGAGGACGAAGGCCUUCGGGUUGUAAACUCCUUUUCUGGGGGAAGAGAAAGGACGGUACCCCAGGAAUAAGUCUCGGCUAACUACGUGCCAGCCGCCGCGGUAAUAC
rnacentral:rRNA from 1 species